AUGGGGUGGGUCGAUGUAGGAAAAAUUGGGGGCCGGCUGGAGCUGGAGAUGAACUCGGACCUCAAGGCUCAGCUCCGGGAGCUCAACAUCACGGCGGCCAGGGAAAUUGAAGUUGGUGGUGGUCGGAAAGCUAUCAUAAUCUUUGUUCCUGUUCCUCAACUGAAAUCUUUCCAGAAAAUUCAAGUCCGGCUAGUACGUGAAUUGGAGAAAAAGUUCAGUGGAAAGCAUGUUGUCUUUAUCGCCCAGAGGAGAAUUCUGCCUAAACCAAUUCGAAAAAGCCGUACAAAAAAUAAGCAAAAGCGUCCCAGGAGCCGCUCCCUGACAGCCGUGCACGACGCAAUCCUUGAGGACUUGGUCUUCCCAAGUGAAAUUGUGGGCAAGAGAAUCCGCGUGAAACUGGACGGCAGCCGGCUCAUAAAGGUUCAUUUGGACAAAGCACAGCAGAAUAAUGUGGAACACAAGGUUGAAACUUUUUCUGGCGUCUAUAAGAAGCUCACGGGCAAGGAUGUUAAUUUUGAAUUCCCAGAGUUUCAGUUGUAAACAAAAAUGACUAAAUAAACUAUAUUCACAGU